GCGGCUCAUACCCUCUGUCCCGCCUCCUCCGCAUCGCGAAGGGGAGGCUCGGAGACCAAGGGACUUCCUGCCUCGAGGAUCUGGCAUUGUCACCCGACGUCCCCUGGUCUUGCAGCUGGUCAAUGC
rnacentral:sRNA from 1 species